GGGUGCACAUCUGGCUGAGCCAGCACACACCUGUGAGCCUGGGGGAUUGCAGGGAAGGCUCUGCUGCUGAGCACCAGCAACCCAAGCUGAAACUCAGCUUUUAUCUGCAUCUCCCUGCCCACAGUUCACCCCUGGGAAAUCUUGCCACUUCAAAAAAACAGUGUUACAAGUCUUUGAGAGACGAGGUGACACAAAAGUAAAUUAUUCUGGUUGUGUGGCAAGGGGGGGACUUCAAAUCUGAAGGGGUCCAUGCAGAAGAAACAGGUCACCCUAACCUGGUUUUACAGAACUAGUAACUGGAAGGAGGUUAACUGGCUGAAGGUUAUCAUGAGGUUUGAGAAGAUAAAAGGGAACAAUCCAUACCUCUGCAGAGAGCACUUUAAGGACAAUCCACCAAAGCAAAGGAUGAUACCAGUAAGUGUGACCCCAGACUGAGGUCCUUGCCAGUGCCUCCCCUGCCCCCAUAGCUCUGGGAUUUGUUUCUGCACAGAUGGAUAUUCAAAAGAAACAGAAGGUGCUAAGAAUCCCUUGAUUUAAACAAGAUGUCUCAGGAAUUUGAUCUUGACAAUGUGUAACGUGUUUUCCAGAAGGAAUUAAAAAAUUGCAAGAAGAGAAUAGACUGUGCAAAUGCAAGAGGAUUUUGAUAACAGCUAAAUCAAUGUGCCUUUCUCUGUUACAAAGAUAUGAAAUGGCAAACCAGCAGGGGUACAGUCGUUAGACUGAUCAAUAAUUCUGAGCACAGGAAUGGAGAUGAGUUUAAUGCACAUCAGCAAAUCACCUGUGGUGUCUCAAGGAGAGUCUUGAGAGCAGGCAGACCCAGCCCAGUGCAGCAGGACACAUUCCAAUGAUUUGGCAUGACAUGUGACACGUCUGCCUUGGAGGAUGGUGGCAGCCUUUGGGUCACUCUGCCCGGUCAUCAGGGCUCGGAAAGGCUGAAGCUGAGUAAUCCUGGUGCACUAAAGGGAGGAGGAUGGAUGGCAGCUUGUUUUGUGACAAGGAAUACAGUGCAGGAGAGGAGGGAAGAGCAAUAUAACCACAGAGGACAGGUGUAGAUCUCCCUGUGGCAGGGGUUUCCCAGAAAUCUGACUGUGAGCAGCUUAGUGGGGCAGAAGAUGAAGGCAAGCACAAUGUCAAAAGGACAGAAAGUCUCCUCUGAAAAACAUGGGAAGUUCUGUGCAUGUUAAUUGUGUGCCAGGAGUGCCCAGAGCACCCCAGACUGAUGCUCCAUUGUACUGUGGCACCAGAUAUCAGCGUGUUACAGGCAUUUCCCUGUCCCCAGAAGUUUGCAGAUCUCACAGACCAUAUAAAGCAAGUGCCUGUGCUGUACUCAGGGUGUUCCUGCAUCGCUGCAGCCUCAGCUAGCCAGGAUGUAAUGCUGUCCCUGCACUGCAUCCCAGCACAGGGUACAGGAAGGAUGGGCCAUGGACCCCUGUGGAGCUCUGCACUACACUGCUUGGGCAGCUGUAUCUCUUCCAAGGCUGGGAAUUCCACCAGGUCUCACUAACUCUGGUGCCUUGCCUCCACCACAGCAUCGUAAUACACAGAAAGGAUUAAAUCUGUUUUUAAAGCAUAAUGUGGCUUUGUAAAUCCCAAGGCAGUAAUGCAGUGCAGAAGCAGACUAAAAAUAUGGCCUGGUUCCAGCCCAGCAAGCAGGGCUGCAUCUUCUUUAUUUCCUUUUUCUCUUGCACGUGUGAGUGCACUCAUGUAAUUUCACGCAGAGAUUUGUGGGCUUUCACUGCAAAUGGGCAGAUGUGGCUCUUGCUGCGAGGAGUUUGCAAACCAGCAAAGCUGAUAUUAAUUCCAGGGGGUGCAGGAUUCACCCUUUAUUUACUCCUCCAGGCUACAUGGGAGCCCAGGCAGCAGAGCACACCUCUGACCUCUUUUAUGGGGCCACAAGGGUCAGCUCAGGGAAAGGCAUCAGUGAGGCAGCUGCCAACAUUCUCACUCUUUCCAAAAGUUUUACCUCAUCCUGUAAAAUUAGUAGGUUUCUAAUUUUUAACUCCCCAGUUUCUUUUCUCACAUGGAUGAAACCUUGACAGAAAGGUCCCCCAACACUUCAAAUCCAACAGCAAAAUUUCCUGACUGUGGUGGUGUCAUAAUUCCAGCUCCCUUCCCCACCCUUUCAUUAAACUCCCCAAAGUUGCUAAAAAACCUUCCACACAUUGCAACAGAGCCUUCAGCUAUCUGGAUUUGGUUUACACCAGCACUUAGGCACAGACAAACAUUGCACAAAAAGUAAGUAAAGGUCUGUCUUGCUGAGUAUUUAGGAUCUGUUGGGGAGGAAGAUCAUCACCGAGCCCUGUCCCCACUGGCAGCUCUGUGGCAGGUCCUGCAGAGCCUGGUUUCUGCAGCCUCCCUCAUGGCCCUGCUGAGGCACCCUUGGGUGAUGCUCAGCCCAGCCACGUCCCUCCUUGCUUUCACAUCCCAGCUCCAGCUCUACCUCUGCUUGUGAUGCUGCUGGUUCCUUGGCUCAGGAGCCCAUGUUCUCCCCCUGUAGUCACUGCAGCUUGGCUGAACAUACUCCCUCUUCAUCUGCCUUCCUGCACACCCAGGUGUCUCCUGGGGCUCUGCUGGAGCUGGCUCCCAGGGGCAGCUCGGUCCUGUGGGCACCCAGAGCUGGUCUCUGUGCCCCAGGGCCACUGCAGCCCUGUGCCACCAGGGCUGUCCCCCUGCCCUUGGCACAGCACACUGAGGCACCUGCUGGGAAUGUGCAAAGCCUAAUGAGAGAGGGAAAGGAAAGGAAAAGGAAAAAGCCCAGUUGAUUUACUCGACUAUCAAGCUACUCAACAGUUUCCUUUCCAGCACCCUCCUGCAAGUGCUCAGUGACAGAUGGGGACAGAUUGAGUGGUUCGAUGCAGUGAGGUAAUAUUCCACUAAAUCAUUCCUCUAUCUCUCACUGUCAGAAGACACCCAGACUUCAGCCUUUCCUCUGAAUCUUCCUGUGUUUCCCUCUUUAAUGACAAAGCCAUUUUAGCUCUACCUCCGCUAAAAUUUCUGAGAGAAGCAAGCACUGUUUAUAUGCUAUGAUAAAAUGGGUGUUGUAAAACAGUUAGCAAAAGGAAGGAGUGAAUCACCCUGAGACA